CAGUCGCCGCGGUAAUACGUAGGUGGCAAGCGUUGUCCGGAAUUAUUGGGCGUAAAGGGCUCGCAGGCGGUUUCUUAAGUCUGAUGUGAAAGCCCCCGGCUCAACCGGGGAGGGUCAUUGGAAACUGGGAAACUUGAGUGCAGAAGAGGAGAGUGGAAUUCCACGUGUAGCGGUGAAAUGCGUAGAGAUGUGGAGGAACACCAGUGGCGAAGGCGACUCUCUGGUCUGUAACUGACGCUGAGGAGCGAAAGCGUGGGGAGCGAACAGGAUUAGAUACCCGCGUAGUCCCUGUCUCUUAUCC
rnacentral:rRNA from 1 species